AGAAUGGUCGCUACUAAGCAUCUCCUAAAAGGGAUUUGGUGCAAUAUGAAGCAUAUUCUUUAAUAGAGAUGUUUCCCCAUGGGCGUUAAUUGAGGGGUGGAGCCUCGUGUCGGCCAUCUUGGUUGGCAAAAAGGCCUAUGUGCGCGAGCAAAGCCAUCUGUAUGCAGGCAUAGAUAAUGAUGCAGGUGUGUUUUUAUAACAGCAAUGGUGGUAUCUUGUUGUAUCGUUAACUGUACAAACAGAGUGCAGAAGGGAAAUAAGCAGAGGUUUUAUACCAAAAGUGAUUCAACAUCUAGGAGAACAGACAAAAUAUUUGACAGAAAGAAGGUGAGAUUAGGCUGCCUGUGUGUUCACAGCCUGGCCUUGUGUUAGCUAGCCUUCACUGAGAUAUGUAUUUAUUAUGCAUUAUGGCAUGAUGUAGGCGAGCAAAGUGGCUAUCUAGAAUUAAUCGUAAAGACUGGUAUCCCAGUGACCAUGACAGAGUUUGCUCAGACCAUUUCUUAUCAGGCAAACCAUCAUCAGAUCAUUUAGAUCCAGACAUAGCACAUCUACUCAAAUUCUAUCUACUCUGUAUCUACUUGUAUUUUAAUUUUUUUAACCAGUAUUUACUUGUAUUUACUUUGUAAGUAGAUGUGUAUUUUCAUCUACAGGCUAAAAAUAUGCAAAAAGCAUCACAUGAAAUCUUCCAUUGCAGUUAUUUACUUAUGAUGAAAGCCAUGUGGGCACUGAAAUUUCAUACAAAAGAAUGUUUUCUGUUGAAAAGAAAAAAUGCACAAUGGCUACCUGCCUGAUUAGCACUAAAA